GACGAACGCUGGCGGCGUGCUUAACACAUGCAAGUCGAGCGAGAAACUUCGGUUUCUAGCGGCGGACGGGUGAGUAACACGUGGGCAACCUGCCUCACAAUGGGGGAUAGCCUUCCGAAAGGAAGAUUAAUACCGCGUAACACAAAGGAAACGCAUAUUUCUUUUGCCAAAGAAUUUCGUUGUGAGAUGGGCCCGCGGCGCAUUAGCUUGUUGGUGAGGUAACGGCUCAACAAGGCGACGAUGCGUAGCAGACCUGAGAGGGUGAUCGGCCACAUUGGAACUGAGACACGGUCCAGACUCCUACGGGAGGCAGCAGUGGGGAAUAUUGCACAAUGGAGGAAACUCUGAUGCAGCAACGCCGCGUGAGUGAUGAAGGUCUUCGGAUUGUAAAGCUCUGUCUUCUGGGACGAUAAUGACGGUACCAGAGGAGGAAGCCACGGCUAACUACGUGCCAGCAGCCGCCGUAA
rnacentral:rRNA from 1 species